rnacentral:tRNA from 1 species
GGGGCUGUAGCUGAGUGGCAGAGCGCUUGCCUAGCAUGCGUGAGGCACUGAGUUCAAUCCUCAGCACCUCA